CGCGUAGGCGGUGCGGUAAGUCACCUGUGAAACCUCCGGGCUCAACUCGGAGCCUGCAGGCGAAACUGCCGUGCUGGAGUGUGGGAGGGGUGCGUGGAAUUCCCGGUGUAGCAGUGAAAUGCGUAGAGAUCGGGAGGAACACCUGUGGCGAAAGCGGCGCACUGGACCACAACUGACGCUGAGGCGCGAAAGCUAGGGGAGCAAACAGGAUUAGAUACCCUGGUACGUCCUAGCCCUAAACGAUGGAUGCUUGGUGUAGCCGGUACCCAAUCCGGCUGUGCCGCAGCUAACGCGAUAAGCAUCCCGCCUGGGGAGUACGGUCGCAAGGCUGAA
rnacentral:rRNA from 1 species